rnacentral:rRNA from 1 species
UUGUGGUUAAAAAGCUCGUAGUUGGAUCUCGGCGGACUGAGGGCGGUUUGCUUGCUAGUAUUACUGCCCUAUAGUCCGUAGUUUUGCCAGAGGUUUCGGGGUGCUCUUAAUCGAGUGUCCCGGGAUGCUGGCAGGUUUACUUUGAAAAAAUUAGAGUGCUCAAAGCAGGCUAUUACGCCUGAAUAUUCGUGCAUGGAAUAAUAGAAUAGGAAGUCGUUUCUAUUUUGUUGGUUUUCGGAAAUCGACUUAAUGAUUAAUAGGGACAGUCGGGGGCAUUUGUAUUCAAACGACAGAGGUGAAAUUCUUGGACCGUUUGAAGACAAACUACUGCGAAAGCAUUUGCCAAGAAUGUUUUCAUUAAUCAAGAACGAAAGUUAAAGGUUCGAAGGCGAUUAGAUACCGCCCUAGUUUUAACCAUAAACGAUGCCAGCUAGCGAUCUGCGGACGUUUUUUUUGUAGACUCCGCAGGAAGCUUCCGGGAAACCAAAGCAUUUGGGUUCCAGGGGAAGUAUGGUUGCAAAGCUGAAACUUAAAGGAAUUGACGGAAGGGCACCACCAGGAGUGGAGCCUGUGGCUUAAUUUGACUCAACACGGGAAAUCUCACCAGGCCCCGGACACUGGAAAGAUUGACAGAUGGAUAGCUCCUU